AAGAAUAAAAACUAAAAAUGAUAGUGAUAACUGAAUAAAAACUAAAAAUGAUAGUGAUAACUGACGAAAUACAUAUAUAACUUCCUAAUAAACUCAAAUCCGAAUACGUCCUCUCAUUUCUCUCAUCGUCAAGCUCCCAAAAUUCACUCCAUGCAGCUUUGUCGAGAAUCAUAAACAAGUUUUUGGCGAACAAACCGAGUUAUGACAUUUGCCUGCUCAGUAUCCUUGACCUGAUUAUAUAGACAACCGAACAAAUUUACUCAAGUUUAAUCCUGAGAGUUUCAAAACAAUGAAAAAGAUGAUAUAUAGCCAAGGGUUCAGGUUCCACAGCUUCUGGAAAGUCUUGGCAACAGAAUCUCCAAGCAACAGCUUAU
rnacentral:lncRNA from 1 species